GGCUGUCGUCAGCUCGUGCCGUGAGAUGUUGGGUUAAGUCCCGCAACGAGCGCAACCCACGUCUUUAGUUGCCAGCAUUUAGUUGGGCACUCUAGAGAGACCGCCGGUGAUAAACCGGAGGAAGGUGUGGAUGACGUCAAGUCAUCAUGCCCCUUACAUCCUGGGCUACACACGUACUACAAUGCUACGGACAAAGGGCAGCAAACUCGCGAGAGCUAGCAAAUCCCAUAAACCGUGGCUCAGUUCAGAUCGUAGGCUGCAACUCGCCUACGUGAAGGAGGAAUCGCUAGUAAUCGCAGGUCAGCAUACUGCGGUGAAUACGUUCCCGGGCCUUGUACACACCGCCCGUCACACCAUGGAAGUUGGCCACGCCCGAAGUCGUUACUCCAACCCUUGUGGAGGAGGAUGCCGAAGGUGGGGCUGAUGACUGGGGUGAAGUCGUAACAAGGUAGCCGUACCGGAAGGUGCGGCUGGAUCACCUCCUAA
rnacentral:rRNA from 1 species